GAACGCUGGCGGUAGGCCUAACACAUGCAAGUCGAACGGCAGCACAGUAAGAGCUUGCUCUUACGGGUGGCGAGUGGCGGACGGGUGAGGAAUACAUCGGAAUCUACUUUUUCGUGGGGGAUAACGUAGGGAAACUUACGCUAAUACCGCAUACGACCUACGGGUGAAAGCAGGGGAUCUUCGGACCUUGCGCGAUUGAAUGAGCCGAUGUCGGAUUAGCUAGUUGGCGGGGUAAAGGCCCACCAAGGCGACGAUCCGUAGCUGGUCUGAGAGGAUGAUCAGCCACACUGGAACUGAGACACGGUCCAGACUCCUACGGGAGGCAGCAGUGGGGAAUAUUGGACAAUGGGCGCAAGCCUGAUCCAGCCAUACCGCGUGGGUGAAGAAGGCCUUCGGGUUGUAAAGCCCUUUUGUUGGGAAAGAAAAGCAGCAGGUUAAUACCCCGCUGUUCUGACGGUACCCAAAGAAUAAGCACCGGCUAACUUCGU
rnacentral:rRNA from 1 species